UGUUUAUUCAUAAACAUUACAUCUAUUCUUGAGAGUGGAAAUUUUCUUAAGUUGAAUCAAACUUGGUAAUGGAAUUGUAGAUUGAAUUAAACUAAGUUUAACUCUUCAGUUUGUUUGAGUUAAGAUCAAUUUAAGAAAGCUCGAUUUUAAUCAAUCCUAUUAUGUAUCUCCAAAAUCAUGUAAAACCUAAUUAAGAUUAAUAAGUUUUUUCUUUUUUGGGCUUGAUCGAGUUUGCUUUCGUGAGCUCGAGUUUGAUAAAUUUUUAGGACAGCUCAAAUCUUUGGCUCACCGUAAACAAAAGAUGGGAAAAACGAUGGCAUCAUGAAUUGCUUCUGCUCCUCCGCCGCACUUGCUUUUCCUUCUACGCUCAUGCUCAGCUCUCCAAUCUUGAUGACAUUGAGCGUCACUCUGAUUGCUCUGUCUCCUUUUCAGGUUUUGGUGAAGCAAAAUGCCCUGAAAGACUUGAAGAAGAAUUUGAAACGGAAACACCCACUCUUCAUAUUUCUGUGGAAAGGAGAACGAUAGCGGAGUUUGCUAUGAAAUCCCAAAUCCCCUUUCACAAUCACUUGUUUAUUGGGCACAUCCACUGUAUAUUCUUUAAGUCCUGUAAUUGCAGAAGAAGCGAUUGAAUUCCUCACCAUUUAUCUUUGAAGUAAGUUGGGAGACUCUUUGUCGACAUUCAGCGCAGCCCAUGUUUGCAUUCAUCACUAUCACCUGAAACUGGAAACAUAUGGACAAUUGACUUAACAUUGACUGACCAUAAAGAAGUGCUAAAACAACAUUUCAUUCAAGGUUGCUUUUUUUCAGUAGUAUGGAAUUUUGAGGAUGUUUAUUGAAUCUUCUUAUCCAUUAAGGUUUAUCAGUCCUGUCGUAAUAAUCAACUUUUAUAAUAAUUACAGCUCCCCAUUGGCCUGCC